rnacentral:snRNA from 1 species
UUAUUUAUCUGGUAGGUACCAUCAUUAUUAAGGAAGGCUUUCCAGGGAUGAGGCUUACCCAUUGCAUUCUGGAUGUGCUCACCCCUGCAGUUUCCCCAAAUGUGGGAAACUUGACUGCGUAAUUUAUGGUAGUGAGGGACUGUGUUUGUAUUUUCCUCUA